GUACCGUCGUAAAAGGGAAGAGGAGAAUCAGAGCUGGGCUGCUCAGAGUGCUUUAACUGAAGGCAUCACGAAUUCACUAUCAACAAAGCACUAAAGCACCAAAUAUUUCAAAGCAGAGAAGGUAGUUUUGCAAGUGUCAAGGACAAGGCAGAGCCUGACGAAUGAAACCACCCAUUUUGAAGGUCUGUGAGGAGAUGGAGAGCUGACACAGAGCUGAAGUACCUUUGCCAGUCUCUUUCUCUGCCUAUCUCCUUCCUCAAGGGCAGCUACCAGCCAGGAGGAAACAGCACAGUCUGUAAUGACAAGCUGUCGACAGCUCCGUGUCACAAACCAGAGCCAUGCCAUUUCUCCUGCAGAGCCAGGCUCAUGGGCACCAGCAGCCCUCACCACAUGCAAUGACAGCCCUGGAAAUGCCCAGAUUUCUCUACCUGUCCUGAAGAACAAUCCCCACCUGAGCAGCCAGGUGUCGGGAUUUAAAAGGUAGCAAAGAGUAAUGGAGCAGAAUUGCAAGCAAAGUGCAAACCACCACUCAACCCCAAGGGCAGGACACUCCCCAGACACCCUGCACUCGAUGUUCUGUGCUCUACAGUGCUCUCAGAAAUAGAGAAAAAACCCAAAAAAAACAACCGAAGCAACAAACUAAAAGCCUGCAUUGGAGUUCACACGCAUUUCUUAAGUGCAGCCAUAGGCAAACCCAUGGAACUGGAUGUGCUGAGAGAACUGUGAUUUAUGGCACAGCACAGUCA